CAGUGUGAAAACUGGGCAAUAGAUUGUGUACAGGUGGAAGGCGGGGCAGAGCUGUGAUUGGGUGCAUCUUGGCCCACCCAAUCAGAAGCGCCACAGUUUAGAGGAGGGUGGUGGAGAUGGCCACGCCCACACAGUCUGAGAAGAUGUCCAAUCAGCCGAAAUAAUGCAACUCACCUGUGUGGGUUAGCCAUAGCUGCGCAUGGCUUUUCAAUGCAAAUGAUGUGGGUAAAGAAUACAUGCUCGUUCUCUUCUUAAUUUACUAACGCUUGACACAUAUCACAUACAGU